GAUGAAGAACGUAGCGAAAUGCGAUAAGUAAUGUGAAUUGCAGAAUUCAGUGAAUCAUCGAAUCUUUGAACGCACAUUGCGCCCGCCAGUAUUCUGGCGGGCAUGCCUGUUCGAGCGUCAUUUCAACCAUCAAGCCCCCGGCUUGUGUUGGGGACCUGCGGCUGCCGCAGGCCCUGAAAUGCAGUGGCGGGCUCGCUGUCACUCCGAGCGUAGUAGUUACAUCUCGCUCUGGGCGUGCUGCGGGUUCCGGCCGUUAAAAGCCUUAUUUACCCAAGGUUGACCUCGGAUCAGGUAGGAAGACCCGCUGAACUUAAGCAUAUCAAUAAGCGGAGA
rnacentral:misc_RNA from 1 species